rnacentral:tRNA from 1 species
GGGCCUAUGUUCCAGUGGUAAGAUACCACAUUCGCAUUGUGGUGACGGGAGUUCGAUUCUCCCUAGGUCCACCA